GCCCGGGUGGUGGAAUUGGUAGACACGAAGGACUUAAAAUCCUUUGGCCAUUGCGGCCGUGCGGGUUCAAUUCCCGCUCCGGGUACUA
rnacentral:tRNA from 1 species